UUUAAGGUCUAACCUGCCCAAUGAGGGUUUAAAUGGCCGCAGUAUUUUGACUGUGCAAAGGUAGCAUAAUUAUUAGUUUUUUAAUUGAAAGCUUGUAUGAAGGGUUGGACGAGAUAAAAUCUGUCUCUAUUUAAAUUAAAAUAUAAUUUAACUUUUGAGUCAAAAGGCUUAAAUUUUUAUAAAAGACGAGAAGACCCUAUAGAUCUUUAUUAAGUUAAGAUUUUAAUAAUUUAGGAUUAUUUUAAUUUAAAUUUUUAAUUUAAUUUUAUUGGGGUAAUAUAAAGAUUAAAUAAAUUCUUUUUAUUAAUAACAUUGAUUUAUGAAUAUAUGAUCCAUUAUUAGUGAUUAAAAGAUUAAGUUACCUUAGGGAUAACAGCGUAAUUUUUUUGGAGAGCCCAUAUCGAUAAAAAAGUUUGCGACCUCGAUGUUGGAUUAAAAGUUAGCUUGGGUGCAGAAGCUCAGGAUUUUGGUCUGUUCGACCAUUAAACUUUUACAUGAUCUGAGUUCAGACCGGCGUAAGCCAGGUCGGUUUCUAUCUUUAUUUAAAUAAAAUAUUUUAGUACGAAAGGACCAAGUAUUUAAUAUAAUUAUAUUUAGUUUUUGAAUAAUAAU
rnacentral:rRNA from 1 species